GUAGGUGGCAAGCGUUGCCCGGAAUUAUUGGGCGUAAAGCGCGCGCAGGCGGUCCUUUAAGUCUGAUGUGAAAGCCCACGGCUCAACCGUGGAGGGUCAUUGGAAACUGGGGGACUUGAGUACAGAAGAGGAAAGCGGAAUUCCAAGUGUAGCGGUGAAAUGCGUAGAGAUUUGGAGGAACACCAGUGGCGAAGGCGGCUUUCUGGUCUGUAACUGACGCUGAGGCGCGAAAGCGUGGGGAGCAAACAGGGAUUAGAUACCCUGGUAGUCCACGCCGUAAACGAUGAGUGCUAAGUGUUAGGGGGUUUCCGCCCCCUUAGUGCUGCAGCUAACGCAUUAAGCACUCCGCCUGGGGAUACGGCCGCAAGGCUG
rnacentral:rRNA from 1 species